UACGUAGGGUGCGAGCGUUAAUCGGAAUUACUGGGCGUAAAGCGUGCGCAGGCGGCGCGUUAAGACAGGUGUGAAAGCCCCGAGCUUAACUUGGGAAUUGCGCUUGUGACUGGCGUGCUGGAGUGUGGCAGGGGGAGGUGGGAUUCCACGUGUAGCAGUGAAAUGCGUAGAGAUGUGGAGGAACACCGAUGGCGAAGGCAGCCUCCUGGGCCAGCACUGACGCUCAUGCACGAAAGCGUGGGGAGCAAACAGG
rnacentral:rRNA from 1 species